AAUCCUGCUCCAUAUGGAAAUUUCAGGAUUUGUUGAUUGUGGACAAUAAACAGAGUCCUCCUGCUUGCUGCUUUCAUCCUGGUGGUGGCCCUCCCGAAUACGUCCUGCACCCUGUUUCAUCUCAAUGCGUUGUCAUAGCUAAGAACAUGGAAUGGCAGAAGCACCAGGGCACAAGCAAGACUCACAGCAUAUUUAAAGACUGUUCUCAUCACACCUGCCAACAUUUAAUUACCCAGUGCAAGUCAUGAGGCUGAGCCUAACAUCAAUGGGGUUUUAAGCUUGGAAGGUAGACGAAGAAUCUCCUCAAAGAGCUAGAAAGAUAUAAAACAGUAAAAUGACACCGAGUGCCUCCUUCCCCCACCCACCCCCAGUUUCUGUCCAGGGGGAGACAUUGAAGCACAGAGGCCUCUCUCCUCUCAACAAAGCAUUCAUGGAUAAACAAAUUGGUGACAUCUUCCUCAUGCCCUGAGAAGCUGUGAGUGCCACAUGAGGAGAAAGGAUCUAUCUUCUAGGGCAACGAAACAACGGCCGAGCAGCUCACGGAAAUCGGGGGCUCGCAGGACCAGCACAAUUCUUAUGCCACACACUUGAGGCACUUAACUACUGCGAUUUGCUGGGAUGCAGCCAGCUAAUGGAAUUUAAAUUAAUGAUGUACAUUUCUUUUAGUUUAAGUUGUUAAACUGUAUUUCCAUGUUUGAUAGUCAUUUGCUAAAUCUCUGGAAAACACUGCAUAUAUAAUAAUAUGCUGGAAUCCCCUGUAGCAUUAAAAAAAAAAAGCUAACAAGUUAUAUAUGAUUUACUCAUUUGCGACACAUCUGUAUUUUAGAGAAACAUUAGUAUAAUCAGAAGAAGGAUUGGGUUAUUGAUUUGAAUUCCAAUUCAAAUAUUAUUUAGGAAGAUUACACUGGAAAAAAAAGAUAUACUUCUAUCUUUUCUAAAAUGA